UGUUCAUUGACUAUUUUAAUGGAGUCUUUUCUUAUUCCAAAGAGACUGCGACUUUAACAUUUAAGAAUGUCACCAAAAGUGACGCUGCAACUUAUUAUUGUGUGAAGAAGGAGAGUCAGAUACCUGUGUUUGGGAAUGGAGUCACGCUGACUUAUGAGGAGACGUACAAAAAUCAAACUUCAAAUUCCUCUUCCUUUGAGAAUGUCGCCUGUGCCAGCUGGCACCAAGAUGUGACGUUGUAUAAAUACUCCACCAUUGCACUAGCUGGGACUUUGGGCCUUGUGGUGCUGGUUGCGUUGUAUUUGAAAAUCAAAGAUUUCAUCUUCUCCCCUCACCUAACAAACCAG